rnacentral:lncRNA from 1 species
CAACACCCACCCCAUCCCUGCCGGAUCCGUAGCGAAGAGCCUGGCCGAAGAGUUCCACCCUUGCCACCACAUUCAAGGCCGCAGGAGCAGCCACUGCUCUCCGCCCACCGCUAGCCACCCCUUCUCCGCUCCUCCUUCCCCAUGCCUCUGCCCCCGUUGGCGGGCCCCCGACGCUCCUCACUUCCAGCCCGCUGGCACCUCCGCCACCUCUCUGGAUGUGGACAUCCACAUCUGCCACCUGCCUCUCAUUUUCGCAAAACCCUCCUGUUGGCGUCCAGCCUGUCUUCCUUCCACCCACUCCACUCUCCAUCCUCUCCUGCGGGGCCCUCCGAAGCCUGUCUGUCUCGGGGAGGUGACGCUCCCGCUGCAGUAGCCUCUCACGUUCAAGCUUCUCCCUUGCGACCUCUCCUCACGGGACGGGACGGGACGCAUGGCUGCCCUUCCCCUAGUCGGCCCAUCAGAGCGCCCAGCCUCUCCUCUCAGAGCUCCCUAACGCCUGACAUUGAGUUGUAUUCAGUCAUCCCUUCUCCUUGGGGCUGUGCUCCCUCCCGUGUAGGGCCCUCACUGCUCACGCUCUUUCCAUCCCCUCAGCGGGCCGCGUUCACUCCAGAAGCCAUCUGCUGUCUCUCGUCUCGUCCUUCCGCUGGCUCCCGCCACCGCCUUCCCUGGAGGCUCCCUCUUCCCUAGCCUUGGCCCGUCUCACCUUCCUGCCUCUUCCGUCUUCCCUUUCAUCAAGCCACUGUCUACUGGCCUCUACGCGGUCCCGCCGCUCAGUCCUCCGCUUCCUUCCUUUGCCCCCACGCCUUCCUUCUCUCCUUCUUCGGGACCCAUGCUGCGCCCCUGCCCAUCGCCCUUGCUCUCCUGCUCCCAGUGGGCCAGGUCGGGAUCCACCCCGCUCUGCCCUCUUGCCCUCUUGGGCACGGUCCCCUCACAACACCCACAUGCAGACUUUGAGAUGCUCCUCUCGGUCUCCAGCCCUUUCUGCCUUGCCCUCUCUCUGUUGUCCCUUGGCUGCAGCCGGCAGGGCAAGAGCCCCCACCUCCCAGCCCCCACUGUCCCACCCCUCGCUCUCUCCCUCCGCGCCCCUUGGCUGACAACGUCAUCUUCUGCGACACGACCUGUGACCCCACGCUGGUUUGAAGGUCCCCGUCUAUCCGUGCUUGCCUCUGCGGGCUCCUCCCGCCCCGUGCUAGACUACCUCCAUUCCUCUGCGGGUCCCCUGAAAUAGCAGAAGCAGGCAUUUGGCGAUCUUUGCGAACUCUCACCUCCGCCUUGCUUCCUACCUGCUCCUCUGCCAUUUCUAAGCGUGCCUGCCAUCCACACGCUGGACUCCAUGCUCGUGAGUCCAUCCCGAAGGCCCUGACGUGCUUCCUGAGCGGGGUGCCUCAUAACUGCCAGCCUGCCCCGUUUCCUCUGUGUCACUACAGCCACCGUAUCCCCUUUCCGCACCUGUUCCCCAGGGGUCCGGCUCUUCACACCCCCCGGGCCGUGAGUCCUGCCUCCGCGCUCCCGCCCUGCUCCUGCCACGUGGCCUCCAUUCCUCCCCUGCCAAGCCCCUUGCCCAGACAUCGGCCCAUGUCCCAACACCGCACGCUCUUCAGGCUGGCUUCCCCUUUUCCCACCCGGAGUCCCCCGCACCUUCACGAGGUUCCCUCCCCUCUUCAGUCCCGCCUGCCCCUGUCUCUUCCCAUCGGCUAUCCUGACCCCACCCACAGCCCGCAGACCACCUGCUCACGGCUGCCCGAGACUCCACUAUCGCCCUCUGCGCACGUCCCUGCUGUGCGGAUUUCAACCCUUCUUGGCCCAUCCUCCUCUUUUUCUCCCACUGUCGUCUCUGAGAGACCCUCGCGUCAUCUUCAGCCACCGUCCUACUCGCCCUCGUAGCUGUCGGGCCCGUGAGGCAGCCACCGUCUUCCCCCAGCAACUUGUGCCCUGGAUGCCCUGCCCUCAUGCUCCCCGCCUUGCCCUCUUCAUCGCCAACGUGCUGUGCCGAAUCCAUCUGCUCUCCCAGUUCGCUCCCAAGGCCCCUACCGUUUUAGCUGCCACCAUUUUUGAGACGGUCACUCCUCCUCUGGGCGUCUCUCUGACCUUUCCCGUCUCCCCGUGCCCCACACUGACAGGGCUGUCUCCAGCACCUUCCAGGCCACUACCACCACCGCCUCAUCCUCCUCCGUUCUCCUCCCUCCCGCCUCUCCUGCGUUCCUUGAUUCCUCGCCCACGCUGUGCUCUGCUCCCGGGUGCGCUUCCUCAGGGCCCUGGUCCACUCACGGGAACACACUUCCUUGAUUCUCCACGUCCAGCCCUUCCUUCGGGCCCUCCGCCGGCCCUCGUGGCCCGGCACGUCCCUGGUCCUCUGUGCAAGCCUCUCCUGUCCCCAGCGGUCAGGCGCCACGGCCUGCCCCUCUCCCGCUUCCGGCCGGCUGGACCGCCUCUCCUCGACCCUACUCUCCCGCGUCUUGCACGCUGCUCCCCUCACCUCCUCCUGCCUCC